rnacentral:rRNA from 1 species
UAAGUAAGCUUUGAUCCAGAGAUUUCCGAAUGGGGAAACCCAGCAUGAGUUAUGUCAUGUUAUCGAUAUGUGAAUACAUAGCAUAUCAGAAGGCACACCCGGAGAACUGAAACAUCUUAGUACCCGGAGGAAGAGAAAGAAAAUUCGAUUCCCUUAGUAGCGGCGAGCGAAACGGGAAGAGCCCAAACCAACAAGCUUGCUUGUUGGGGUUGUAGGACACUCUAUACGGAGUUACAAAGGACGACAUUAGACGAAUCAUCUGGAAAGAUGAAUCAAAGAAGGUAAUAAUCCUGUAGUCGAAAAUGUUGUCUCU